GGUCAAAAUUCUUGUAGGUCUCGUGAUGGUAGAACAUUUGAAAGGGGCUUUCUGAGUAGGGAGCUUUUUCCAAGUUUGAAGGACUUGCGAGUGAGUCAAGGUGUGAGGUUUCUUGUCUCAGAACAUGGGCAAGUCAAAGGUGGGAGCUGAUGCUGGCUCCGGGCAGGCGCAGGGACAGAUGAAAUUGCGACCCAUCAGUUCAUGCCUGAGCUGGGAAGUGAGGAGAAGGAACUGGGAGCAGCCUUUGGAGUGAGUCCAGGCAGGCAAGGCUGGAUCUGUGAAGGAUGCCGGAGUGGUGUAGCUGCAGCUGGGAAGCCAGGUGACAAGAGCCCAGGUGAGAGCACUGCCUGGGUAGGAGGGACAGGGUGCUAGGCCUGGGCUGGACAAAAAGAAAGGGGCAAAGAGCAGCCAAGGAAGGUGUCCAGAGCAGAGACCAGAGUGACAAAUAAGCUGGUGAUGGUGGCCUGUUUGGUGGUGGGAAGAGAAGGGAAGGGAAGGGAAGGGAAGGGAAGGGAAGGGAAGGGAAGGGAAGGGAAGGGAAGGGAAGGGAAGGGAAGGGGCGCGGUGUGCUGCCGGCUCGGGCUGGGGCUGCCCGGGGCUGCCGGCAGCGGGGAGCAGCAGCGGAGGAAAUGGAUGCUGGGGGCGAGCCAACAUUGUCUGCGCGAUGGGCGAGGAGGUGACGGGAGGAGGGGCGCGGAGCGAGCGCACGGGGCCAGGAGGCGGGCAGGGCAGGGCCGGGCCGGGCCGCACCGCACCGAGGGGCCGCGGGGAGGCCGCGGGACCCCCGGCAUCAGCACCCCCAGCACCAGCAGCACCCCCAGCACGGCCGCCAGCCCCCGCAGCCGGCAGCGGCCGCCCCGCCCCGGGCCCGCCCCUCCCCGCGGCGGGGCGCAGCGCAGCGCAGCAGCUCCGGGGGCUGCGGGAGCCGCCGCCCGCUGCAGCCAGCGGGGAGAAGCCGCCGCCGCCCGGGCAGCGCGCACAGGUAGGGCCGGCUCCCGCAGCACCGCCGCAGUCUCAGCCCCCCCCCCCCAGCCUCCUCCUCCUCCUCCUCCUCCGCCGCUCCGCCCUGCGGAGGCCCCGGCCUCUCCCCGGGGGCCGCGGCCGCCGCCCCUGCCGUCCCCUCCCCUCCUUUCCCUCCCCUCCCUUCCCCUCCCGGUGCCGCCGCGCAGCCGCACGCCCCGCCGCGGUGCGGAGAGCCGCGGGAGCGCCGCGGGAGCGCCGCCGCUGCUGCCGGGCUGGGCUGGCCGGGGGACCCCUCUCCGCCGAGAGGAUUUUAAGAAGAGUCUGAUGCUGAGAAUAGAUUAA
rnacentral:lncRNA from 1 species